rnacentral:rRNA from 1 species
AUACGUAGGUGGCAAGCGUCGUCCGGAAUUAUUGGGCGUAAAGCGCGCGCAGGCGGUCCUUUAAGUCUGAUGUGAAAGCCCACGGCUCAACCGUGGAGGGUCAUUGGAAACUGGGGGACUUGAGUGCAGAAGAGGAAAGUGGAAUUCCAAGUGUAGCGGGGAAAUGCGUAGAGAUUUGGAGGAACACCAGUGGCGAAGGCGACUUUCUGGUCUGUAACUGACGCUGAGGCGCGAAAGCGUGGGGAGCAAACAGGAUUAGAUACCCUGGUAGUCCACGCCGUAAACGAUGAGUGCUAAGUGUUAGGGGGUUUCCGCCCCUCAGUGCUGCAGCUAACGCAUUAAGCACUCCGCCUGGGGAGUACGGUCGCAAGACUGAAACUCAAAGGAAUUGACGGGG